UCUCUGUCUAGGGCUCAAACUGGAGGUCCCACUUCUUCAGGGAUUUAAUGUUAAGAUGAAUAAAAUGAAUAAAAAAACAUAUGAAGAAAGUUAAUCAAAAUUUGUUUGUGCCUGAACACUGGAGGAGGUGUAAAUCUCUCAACAGACUACUGAAAAUGAAGAUACUUCCCAUAGCAACAUUAUGCGUGAAGAUGGGCGACACCUCUUCCUGAUAUUUCCUGAUAUACCUAGAGCCAAGCAGGACACACAGAGCAGGACUCGCAGGGACAAGGGCACAGCGACCACAGAUGCUAUUCUGUGCCUGCCUGGAAGCCCAGUAUCUGCAGUUUCUCAAACCCAGGAAACACCACACUGUGCAUCUGCUCCAGCGCCGACGGCCAGGUGUGCUGGGGACCUUAGCUGGUGAGGCUGCUGGAAGGCGGCAUGUUCCCGUGCAGAAGAGCUCAGCUUGAGCAGAAAAUGGAUACAAAGCCUGCACUGGGAAAUGACUCAGCAUCUGCAGAACUCAGCUCAGAAGGCAUCCUUCACCUCGGCCCACCGGCUUCUUUUUUUCUGAACCAAAAUAUUUCUGGAAUUGCUGGUGGUCUGAAUAAUGCCAAUAGCUCAGGAGAGCUAGAAGUUGGGCCAAGGAUAUUGACGUGGUUGUGAGGAGGACUUGGUCAGUAGCUCAGGAGAGAUAGAGAGUGGGUCAGAGAUACUGACGUGGUUGUGAGGAAUUACUUUUGAAGGGCUAAGAGAACUAGUGACUACAACCUUGAUAGCUUACAAUAACAGAAAUUUGUUCUUUCAUGAUCCUGGAGGCUAAAAUCUGAAAUCAAGGUGUUUGCCAGGCCAUGCUCUCUCCAGGGGACCCAGGGGAGACACCCCCUGCCUCUUCCAGUUUUUAGUAACUAAUUUUGUAGCUAGGUCACGCCCAUCUUGUUCCUGCCUUGACAUGGCUCCUCCUCUAUUGAUGGUAUGUAUCAAAUUGAUUUCUGCUUAAAAAACAUUAUUAAUAAAGAUAUUUGUCACUAGACUUAUGCACUGUUCAGUCAGUCAAGGAAAAUCUCAGCUGAAGAGCCUCAACUGUAUUUGCAAAAACCGCUUUCCCACAUACAGCUGCACUAACAGGCUGAUUACAGACCUUGCGGAUGCUUGUUUGGAGGCCACUGUAAGUCGGCGUAGUGACCUGGUGAAGGUGCUGGUUGAGGCAGACCUAGCAAGGAUGAAUCCUAAAUCCUCCAAGAGCGUAGUGAAUGACGUUGUGGUGGGCAGCGCCUGGAGAGGGGACAUCAGCGGGGACGCUGUUCUUGCCAUUUAGUGCUGGACACCAAGUUCAAGCUACAGCUCAGAGAAAGCAGAGCUGUGACCUUGCCAUUUUUGUGUCACAUCACUCAGCCUCGAGAUUUCCAAUAGUGCCAUCAUGGUUAUUCGAUUAGGAGUCAUGAAAACGAAUAAAAACCUACAGCUUUAUCUGAGCUGGGCUUUAGAUUAUUAUAUCAUCUUUAUAAAAAUUUUACCUUAAAAUGCUUCAGGAUAAACAGUAUGAUUUAUGAAGGAAAUUAAUUUUUCAUUUGUAUCCUGGCAGCACUUAGUGUUUGAAGUAUCGUGAUCAGAAAUGUGCACUCCAGGCACGAUUACUGAGCACUUCACAAUUUUCUGUGAAAGCUGCUCUUGAGCAUUUGUUAAUUAGUAUGAGAGAUGUAAAAAUAACUUUUCAUUAAUGAAUGAGUGUCAAGUCCCACUGGCUUUGCAUGGGAACAACUUCUGGGAAUCUGACAAGGUCAACCACAUGCUCUCCUUGGAGGAAACGCUUGGGUGAGAAUUCCUGUAGAGUCCACAGUUCACAGAACACCUUUGCUGAUCACAAUGGUACCUGUUUCCAACAUCCAAAGUGGUGACCACUGACUCCGAGCAGGCCAGCCAUGCAGAGCAUGUUGUUGCUAUUCUGAGGGCAGAACAUGGAACUUUCCCCAGUUGAACAAAUGAGAUCGACUGAAGUUGUGUCUGUUUCCUGAUACACAUAUGAAUAUUUGCCAAAUCUGGCCUAAGACUCGGGAAAUUGUAGGCAAGCUGAGGUAGACUCUUCUACCACCAAACCAACUAUGUUUACCCUGAGUUUUGAGUGUCUGUGGAAAGACCACAUUGGCUUCAGUAAAUUUGCAAUAGAAUCCUUCAGUUUUUGAACUCAGAUUUCCGCAAGGAUUGGCAAUACAGUUCUAGGUGUCCAAGAAAGGAGACGGAUCUGUGGACUUCCAUAAAUCCAUAGGCUGUGUGAUCUUUUCAUCACCAACCUGAAGUCCAUGAUCUGCCUGAAACGAUUGAAACUGCUUGUACGAUAUUUUGUUUGUGUUCUGACAAAUAAAGCUUGCCUGGAGAUCAGAGGAUGGAGCUAGCCACUAGUUAAAGAAAGAGAGGCCACGGCAGUGGUAGCACACACCUUUAA